AUUGAACGCUGGCGGCAGGCUUAACACAUGCAAGUCGCACGAGUUGCGGACGGGUGAGUAAUGCUUGGGAAUCUAGCUUAUGGAGGGGGAUAACUCCGGGAAACUGUAGCUAAUACCGCGUACCAUAGGAUGAGCCCAAGUGGGUUUAGGUAGUUGUUGUGGUAAAGGCUCACCAAGCCGACGAUCUCUAGCUGGUCUGAGAGGAUGACCAGCAACGCUGGAACUGCGAAACGGCACAGACUCCUACGGGAGGCAGCAGUGGGGAAUAGUGUGCAAGGGGCGCAAGCUGAAGCAGCGAGGCCGCGUGAAAGAAGAAGGCGUUCGGGUUGUAAAGUUCUUUCGGUAGCGAGGAGUUAACUACAGAAGAAGCACCGACUAACUCCGUGCCAGCAGCCGCGGUAAUUC
rnacentral:rRNA from 1 species